CCUACGGGAGGCAGCAGUGGGGAAUCUUGGUCAAUGGACGAGAGUCUGAACCAGCCAAGUAGCGUGAAGGAUGACUGUCCUAUGGGUUGUAAACUUCUUUUAUAUGGGAGUAAAAUGUUCAACGUGUGGGAUUCAGUAUGUACCAGAUGAAUACGGAUCGGCUAACUCCGUGCCAGCAGCCGCGGUAAUACGGAGGAUCCGAGCGUUAUCCGGAUUUAUUGGGUGUAAAGGGUGCGCAGGCGGAGGUGCAAGUCAGCGGUCAAAGUGCGGGGCUCAACCCCGUACAGCCGUUGAAACUGCAUCCCUUGAGUGCGCGAGAAGUAUGCGGAAUGCGUGGUGUAGCGGUGAAAGGCAUAGAUAUCACGCAGAACUCCGAUGGCGAAGGCAGCAUACCGGCGCGCAACUGACGCUCAUGCACGAAAGCGUGGGUAUCGAACAGGAUUAGAUACCCCAGUAGUC
rnacentral:rRNA from 1 species